AGGUUUCUGGGCAUGGGGGAGGAGGC
rnacentral:piRNA from 1 species